CUUUUUGAUUUAGGGAAAAAAAUCUAUUGUUGAAAAAAAUUGGUCAGAAGUUUGGAGAGCAUAUACAAUUUGUUUGUGGUGCUCUGAAUUUUCAACUAAUUUACAAUAUUCAGAACUCAUGCAUGAGAGAAACAAUUAAUUACUGUUUAUGGACAUUGAUCGGAAGUAGCUAUGCAACUGGUUUGUUAUGCAUACGGAAAGUACAGAGGAAGAACUAACUUUCCCAUUGUGCGGUCGACAAAAAUCUGUUUCAUUCGAAAUACUUUAUAGAAAAAAGUGGUAUUCUUAGGUGAGGACUGACCUAAAUGAACUUUUAUCGUUUAAAGAUAUAAAAGUAAUGUUUACAAAAUUUGUUGCAAUCUAAUCGCCAGACUAUUUAGUUUCUUAUGAACUUGACUUUAUGAAGUGAACUUAAUCAAUUUGAUUGCAUACUCUAAAACUGUAUUGUUAUCAAAGGACUUUAAAUAACUUUUAAAGUUACUUAUCCAGUUUUAAGAUCAGUUUCAGAUUGACCUGACGAUUCGUAACUGAAACAAUAAUGCAUAUUGUCGUUGGGCGAUAUGUAGAAGAUAUGACACACUGGCUUUUUUAAAGUGUGAUUAGAGCACUUUUGAUUUACGCCUCGAUAAUCUGCUGGACGAACUAGGAACAAAUACAUAUAUAACAUACGAGGGUCAUGAACACUGAGCACAACAUAUCUCUGAAACUAUUGCUAUACAAUGUUCGAAUAGAAACAUUAGAUAUGUGGCGACCCUCACACCCUAGUGGCUCUUAUAUUUUGCGAAUUGGCCAAAGCCGGUACCAGGUCACGAUUACGAUUGCUUAUCACAAACUAAAAUUGUCAAAAACUGAAUAGAUUGACGCUUCAACAACGCUAUCAAAAGUAUUUAAAUUUAUUUUGAAAAUCAGUAAUUUACAUGCAUGUGCUCCAUCGGCCUUAACUUAAACUUAGUCUCUAAGACCGUGUGAUUCAACUCCUUUCGAUAAUUUCCUUUUGGGUCUACAUUGGACCUAAAUUGGAUGCCCAGAUGACGUUUCGUUAAGAACAACCGCAAAGCCAUUAUAACGGAAAACUAUAUUAAAAUAUUGAUUUUGGAUUCAAAUGGAAUUUUCGGGCUAAAACCCCGAAGUGAUUAAAUAAUUGUAAAAUAUAGAGUUAUAGUAAACAUUUUGAAAAUUGUUAUUAUAAAAAAUAUAAACAAAAAGACAGUCAGGGCUUUAAACUAUUUAAAAAAAUAUUUAAGCUAUUCAUUCAUGAGAUCUCUGAUACCUAAGUAUUUAAGUAUAUUUUUGACUGGUAAAUAUAAAAUUAAAUACAGUUGGUAACCCUUUAACCAUCUGACUAAGUAACUGAUUGCUAGUAUGAAUAAGUUUCUAAAACUAAGCUUUG